ACGGAGGGUGCAAGCGUUAUCCGGAUUCACUGGGUUUAAAGGGUGCGUAGGAGGGUAGGUAAGUCAGUGGUGAAAUCUUCGUGCUUAACUCGGAAACUGCCAUUGAUACUAUCAGUCUUGGAUAUCGUUGAGGCAGGCGGAAUAUAUCAUGUAGCGGUGAAAUGCAUAGAUAUGAUAUAGAACACCAAUUGCGAAGGCAGCUUGCUAAACGAUCAUUGACGCUGAGGCACGAAAGCGUGGGGAUCAAACAGGA
rnacentral:rRNA from 1 species